rnacentral:misc_RNA from 1 species
GAUGAAGAACGUAGCGAAAUGCGAUAAGUAAUGUGAAUUGCAGAAUUCAGUGAAUCAUCUAAUCUUUGAACGCACAUUGCGCCCGGUAGUAUUCUGCCGGGCAUGCCUGUUCGAGCGUCAUUUCAACCAUCAAGCCCCAGCGCUUGUGUUGGGGGCCUGCGGCUGCCGCAGCCCCCUAAAAGCAGUGGCGGGCUCGCUAUCACACCGAGUGCAGUAGUUCAUCUUCUCUCCGGUCUUGUGAGGCGGGUUCCGGCCGUGAAACACCCCACUACAUUCAAGGUUGACCUCGGAUCAGGUAGGAAUACCCGCUGAACUUAAGCAUAUCAAUAAGCGGAGGA